AUUGAACGCUGGCGGCAUGCCUUACACAUGCAAGUCGAACGGCAGCACGGGAGCAAUCCUGGUGGCGAGUGGCGAACGGGUGAGUAAUAUAUCGGAACGUGCCCAGUAGUGGGGGGAUAGCCCGGCGAAAGCCGGAUUAAUACCGCAUACGACCUGUGGGUGAAAGCGGGGGAUCGCAAGACCUCGCGCUAUUGGAGCGGCCGAUAUCAGAUUAGCUUGUUGGUGGGUAAAAGCCCACCAAGGCGACGAUCUGUAGCUGGUCUGAGAGGACGACCAGCCACACUGGGACUGAGACACGGCCCAGACUCCUACGGAGGCAGCAGUGGGAAUUUGGACAAUGGGCGCAAGCCUGAUCCAGCCAUGCCGCGUGUGGGAAGAAGGCC
rnacentral:rRNA from 1 species